rnacentral:tRNA from 1 species
AUCUAAAUAGUUUAAAUAAAAUAUUAACUUGUGGCGUUAAUGAAACAUAGUUGUUUUAGAUA